rnacentral:rRNA from 2 species
AAAUUGAAGAGUUUGAUCAUGGCUCAGAUUGAACGCUGGCGGCAGGCCUAACACAUGCAAGUCGAACGGUAACAGGAAGCAGCUUGCUGCUUCGCUGACGAGUGGCGGACGGGUGAGUAAUGUCUGGGAAACUGCCUGAUGGAGGGGGAUAACUACUGGAAACGGUAGCUAAUACCGCAUAACGUCGCAAGACCAAAGAGGGGGACCUUCGGGCCUCUUGCCAUCAGAUGUGCCCAGAUGGGAUUAGCUUGUUGGUGGGGUAACGGCUCACCAAGGCGACGAUCCCUAGCUGGUCUGAGAGGAUGACCAGCCACACUGGAACUGAGACACGGUCCAGACUCCUACGGGAGGCAGCAGUGGGGAAUAUUGCACAAUGGGCGCAAGCCUGAUGCAGCCAUGCCGCGUGUAUGAAGAAGGCCUUCGGGUUGUAAAGUACUUUCAGCGGGGAGGAAGGUGUUGUGGUUAAUAACCGCAGCAAUUGACGUUACCCGCAGAAGAAGCACCGGCUAACUCCGUGCCAGCAGCCGCGGUAAUACGGAGGGUGCAAGCGUUAAUCGGAAUUACUGGGCGUAAAGCGCACGCAGGCGGUCUGUUAAGUCAGAUGUGAAAUCCCCGGGCUCAACCUGGGAACUGCAUCUGAUACUGGCAGGCUUGAGUCUCGUAGAGGGGGGUAGAAUUCCAGGUGUAGCGGUGAAAUGCGUAGAGAUCUGGAGGAAUACCGGUGGCGAAGGCGGCCCCCUGGACGAAGACUGACGCUCAGGUGCGAAAGCGUGGGGAGCAAACAGGAUUAGAUACCCUGGUAGUCCACGCCGUAAACGAUGUCGACUUGGAGGUUGUGCCCUUGAGGCGUGGCUUCCGGAGCUAACGCGUUAAGUCGACCGCCUGGGGAGUACGGCCGCAAGGUUAAAACUCAAAUGAAUUGACGGGGGCCCGCACAAGCGGUGGAGCAUGUGGUUUAAUUCGAUGCAACGCGAAGAACCUUACCUGGUCUUGACAUCCACGGAAGUUUUCAGAGAUGAGAAUGUGCCUUCGGGAACCGUGAGACAGGUGCUGCAUGGCUGUCGUCAGCUCGUGUUGUGAAAUGUUGGGUUAAGUCCCGCAACGAGCGCAACCCUUAUCCUUUGUUGCCAGCGGUUAGGCCGGGAACUCAAAGGAGACUGCCAGUGAUAAACUGGAGGAAGGUGGGGAUGACGUCAAGUCAUCAUGGCCCUUACGACCAGGGCUACACACGUGCUACAAUGGCAUAUACAAAGAGAAGCGACCUCGCGAGAGCAAGCGGACCUCAUAAAGUAUGUCGUAGUCCGGAUUGGAGUCUGCAACUCGACUCCAUGAAGUCGGAAUCGCUAGUAAUCGUGGAUCAGAAUGCCACGGUGAAUACGUUCCCGGGCCUUGUACACACCGCCCGUCACACCAUGGGAGUGGGUUGCAAAAGAAGUAGGUAGCUUAACCUUCGGGAGGGCGCUUACCACUUUGUGAUUCAUGACUGGGGUGAAGUCGUAACAAGGUAACCGUAGGGGAACCUGCGGUUGGAUCACCUCCUUA